UAUUGGUCAAUGGUCGGGAGACUGAACCAGCCAAGCCGCGUGAGGGAGGAAGGUACAGAGUAUCGUAAACCUCUUUUGUCAGGGAACAUAGGCGGGGAUGUGUCCCCGGAGGAGUGUACCUGAAGACAAAGCAUCGGCUAACUCCGUGCCAGCAGCCGCGGUAAUACGGAGGACGCGGGCGUUAUCCGGAUUUAUUGGGUUUAAAGGGUGCGCAGGCGGUCUGUUAAGUCAGCGGUCAAAGCCCGGGGCUCAACCCCGGCCCGCCGUUGAAACUGGCAGUCUCGAGUUGGAGAGAAGUAUGCGGAAUGCGCGGUGUAGCGGUGAAAUGCAUAGAUAUCGCGCAGAACCCCGAUUGCGAAGGCAGCAUGCCGGCUCCACACUGACGCUGAGGCACGAAAGCGUGGGUAUCGAACAGG
rnacentral:rRNA from 1 species